CAGCCGCUCUGAGUCUCGUAAUCAUACAGUGUUAAACAUUAGAUACUGUAUUUCUGUAACUUUGAACAAAUGACUUUUGAUCAAUAUCAUUGUAAGUACACUCUCUCAUCAUUGUGUAAACAUUUCUAUUUAUAAUUUCCUGGUAUCAGAAGGUGUUUUUUUUUGUUGUUUUUUAACCUACAAGCUUCGUGUCACUAAAGAUUGCAGCAUUUUGUUUUGAAUAGCAUGUUUCUAAGAGACAUACACAAACAUCUAACCGAGGACAAAGUCACUUGUUUACUUUACUAAAGGAAAAAAGCUCUAAUGCCUUGCUCUAAUGAAAUUCCAACAUCCUGUUGCAGUUUCCCUGCAGUCACCUGGGAACACGAGCCUGUGAACACGCGUUUGGAGAGGAUCUGCUGUGAUUCACACUCCCACACGUUGGCUACUAUCACUCAGUCGGCGUUCGGGACUGACAAACAUUUGACAGAAAACCAUCUAUUUCUCACGCAAAUCUAUCCUAUGACUUCAGAUUAUGGUGCACAAGUCAUAUAGUGUACUUUUUGAUGCUGUUACGGUGCUUUUUUGAAUCUUGAAAACUCCAGUCUACAUUUAUUCCAAAGGCUUGGAAUAAAACAACAAAAUCUGUCCUGUUAUGUUCUGCAAAAGAAAAGAAGACAUACAGGUUUGCCCAAACAACAACGUGAUGCACAAGUCAUUCGAAAUGCUUGGAAAGAGCUGCUCUUCAGAUCUUGUAAAACCUGGGAUGCAAAUUCCACAACGCUCUUUUGCCAACAAUUCCUCUCUUGCUCAAGGCUGCAUUCCAGCAGAAGAGAGGUUCUUAUUUUGCCUAUUUCUAAGCACCUGUUACCUUGGAGACCAGAGAAAAAGAAAUAGCAUUGCAGUAGGAGGCAAUAUCCUCAGAAAUGUACGAGACACACCCUUGGAGAUGAAAUGGCCGGGAAUUAAUCAUUCUGAAUGUGUAAUGGAGCAAUUUGUUAAAGCUUUGCAUUCAGGUUGCAUUAAUUAGUUUAUGAUAAUUUUUUUUUUACAAAUUGUUUAUCU